AAUGAACGCUGGCGGCAUGCCUAACACAUGCAAGUCGAACGAGACCUUCGGGUCUAGUGGCGCACGGGUGCGUAACGCGUGGGAAGCUGCCCUUGGGUUCGGAAUAACAGUUAGAAAUGACUGCUAAUACCGGAUGAUGUCGAAAGACCAAAGAUUUAUCGCCCGAGGAUGAGCCCUCGUAGGAUUAGCUAGUUGGGGAGGUUAAGGAUCACCAAGGCGACGAUCCUUCGAUGGUGUGAGAGGAUGAUCAGCCACACUGGGACUGAGACACGGCCCAGACUCCUACGGGAUGCAGCAGUGGGGAAUAUUGGACAAUGGGCGAAAGCCUGAUCCAGCAAUGCCACGUGAGUUAUGAAGGCCUUAGGGUUGUAAAGCUCUUUUACCCGGGAUGAUAAUGACAGUACCGGGAGAAUAAGCUCCGGCUAACUUCGUGCCAGCAGCCGCCGUAAGAC
rnacentral:rRNA from 1 species